rnacentral:rRNA from 1 species
CAGCGCCACAAGUGGGGAUCGUUUUUAUUGGGCCUAAAGCGUCCGUAGCAGGUUUAAUAAGUCCUCUGUGAAAUUGACCAACUCAAUUGGUCAGCGUGCAAGGGAAACUGUUAGACUAGGGACCGGGAGGAGUAUGCGGUAUUGUCGGGGGUACUCCAGGGGUAGGGGUGAAAUCCUGUAAUCCUUGGGGGACCACCGGUGGCGAAGGCGUCCGACCAGAACGGGUCCGACGGUAAGGGACGAAGCCCUGGGGCGCGAACCGGAUUAGAUACCCGAGUAGUCC